UAAUACGGAGGGUGCAAGCGUUGUCCGGAUUUAUUGGGUUUAAAGGGUGCGUAGGCGGCUAUUUAAGUCAGUGGUGAAAUCCAACAGCUUAACUGUUGAACUGCCAUUGAUACUGGAUGGCUUGAGUACAGACGAGGUAGGCGGAAUUUAUGGUGUAGCGGUGAAAUGCAUAGAUACCAUAAAGAACACCGAUUGCGAAGGCAGCUUACUAGGCUGUAACUGACGCUGAGGCACGAAAGUGUGGGGAUCAAACAGGAUUAGAUACCCUGGUAGUCCACACUGUAAACGAUGAUUACUCGAUGUGUGCGAUAGACAGUACGCGUCCAAGCGAAAGCGUUAAGUAAUCCACCUGGGGAGUACGAUCGCAAGAUUG
rnacentral:rRNA from 1 species